rnacentral:rRNA from 1 species
UACGGAGGGGGCUAGCGUUGUUCGGAAUUACUGGGCGUAAAGCGCACGUAGGCGGCGAUCUAAGUCAGAGGUGAAAGCCCGGGGCUCAACCCCGGAACAGCCUUUGAGACUGGAUUGCUAGAAUCACGGAGAGGUGGGUGGAAUUCCGAGUGUAGAGGUGAAAUUCGUAGAUAUUCGGAAGAACACCAGUGGCGAAGGCGGCCCACUGGACGUGUAUUGACGCUGAGGUGCGAAAGCGUGGGGAGCAAACAGG